rnacentral:rRNA from 1 species
GACGAACGCUGGCGGCGUGCUUAACACAUGCAAGUCGAACGGAAAGGCCCUGCUUGUGGUUUACUCGAGUGGCGAACGGGUGAGUAACUCGUGGGUGGACUGCCCUCCUCUUCGGGAUAAGCCUGUUCAACUGGGUCUAGUACCUACCAGAUGCUAUUUUUAAUGGGAUGGUUGGAAAGUUUUGUCGGUGUUGGGUGAGGUUUCGGCGUAUCAGCUUGCUGGUGGGGUUAUGGACUACCAAGGCGGCGUCGGGUGGCCAGCCUGAGAGGGUGGACGGCCACCGUGAGACCUAGGGGAGGCCCAGACAGCUAAGGGAGGCAGAAGUGCGGAAUAUUGAACGAUGGGCGCAGGCCUGGUGAUGAGACGCCGCGUGGGGGAUGACGGCCUUCGGGUGGUAGACCCCAUGCGCUAGGGACGAAGCUUUUUGUGACGGUACCUAGAUAAGAAGCACCGGCUAACUACGUG